GAGAGAAUGAGAUAGAGCAUGAGAGGGGGGAGGGUCAGAGGGAGAAGCAGACUCCCUGCUGAGCAGGGAGCCCGAUGCGGGACUCGAUCCCGGGACUCCAGGAUCAUGACCUGAGCCGAAGGCAGUCGCUUAACCAACUGAGCCACCCAGGUGCCCUGUUUUCAGAUUUUUAAAGGGCUGUUUUUUAAAGACUAUGCAACAGAGACCUAGGUGGCCCACAAGCCCUAAAUAUUACAAAAUUGUUUUGUCUCUUAAAAAAAGAAAAAAAACCACUACAGAUUCCUGAGUAUACUAUCCCAAUUUCCAAGAUUAAUUCAGGGCUUGUCCUGAGGCCCUCUUCUCACUAUAAUCUCUCUCUAGGAUGAUCUCUGACAUGUACAUAGCUUCACUAACAACCUUGGUGUAGUUGACUCACAACUGUACAUCCAACCCAAUUCUCCUAAUUGUGCUCAUAUAUUUCGUGGCUCCGUUGAUAUCUUCAUCUGGCUAUCGCAGUGAUACCUGAAAACUAAACUUAAGGCGCUCCUGGCUGGCUCAGUCAAUGGAGCAUGCAACUCUUGAUCUCGAGAUAUGAAGUUGCAGCCCCAUGUUGGGUGUGGAGAUUACUUAAAAAUAAAAUCUUAAAACUUAAGCAUCAUCUCCCAUUUGCAUUCUUUUUCUCAGUGAAUGGAUCAGCCAUCCAACUAGUGAUAUAAACUAGGAAGUUGGGAGCUAUCUCAGUCUUUCUUCUUGCUUACUCAUAAGUAGUCAAUAAAUCCUAACAGUUUGAACCAUGAAAUCUCUUGAAUCUAUCUACUGAUCCAUCUCUACCAGCUUAUCCUUCUCUAAGCCUUCAUUACCUCUUGCUUGAAUUGCUAAUUAAUUGGUGUCUCUAGAUCCCCUCUUUACCUCUACUCUACUUUCCACAUCACAGCCAGAAGGAUAGUUCUGAAAUACAAAUUUAAUUACAUCAUACCAUACUUCAAAUACAGUAAUGACUUCCCUGGUUCUUGAAGUGUAACUUCUUUAAUUUGGCCCAUAUGGCCUUGCAUGGUCUGACCCCUGUGUAUCGUACACAAACUGACCUUGUUCAUUCUCCCCUUUCUUUACUGCAGUUGUAUUACCCUUCUUUCAAUCCUCUGGUCAGAUGCUCUUCCCUUUUCAAUAUUUAAGACCUGUACCCUUUUCUGUAUCAUUUUGCAUAUUUAAUGAUAAUUUAUUUGUAGAACUGAAGUCAAGUGAGAACUCCCUGAGUGAGUCCAGUUUUCCUCUAUUAUGCUCUCAUUGCGUCACAUACUGCACCUUCAUAGCGUUUAUCACAAUUAUAAUCUUAUAUUUAUCGGUGCAGUGAUUAGAUUAAUGGCCAUCUCCUGCAUCUUACUUGGAUUAGGGUGUACUUCAUGUUUUCUACUCUGUCUUCAGCACUCAGUACUAUAUCUGGUACAAAUACUGAGAAUUUGAAAACAGGAGCUAGGUUAUUGUGGGGCAGGUUUUCUGUACAGGUUGGCAGAGUUCCGAAAUACUAGCGGUAGGAAUUUGCUGAGGAUAGAAAGUGAGACCUGGGAAGAGAGUUGUUUUGUAAUGCAGUGAAACAAAAAAGAUUCCUUGUUAUGUAUUGCAGAUUGGUUAUACAAGUGUUCAGUUCAGAAACUGGUGGUUGUCAUCUCAAAUAUUGAAAGUGGUGAGGUCCUUGAAAGGUGGCAAUUUGAUAUCGAGUGUGACAAGACUGCAAAAGAUGACAGUGCACCCAGAGAAAAGUCUCAGAAAGCUAUCCAAGAUGAAAUCCGUUCAGUGAUCAGACAGAUCACAGCUACGGUGACAUUUCUGCCACUAUUGGAAGUUUCUUUUACUCCUUCAUUCAUCAGAUAUAUCCUAAAUACCUACUACAUGCCAGAUGCUGUUCUGGGCACUGGGAUACAGCUGUCACAGAACCAAGGUUCAUUUGAUCUACUGAUACAUACAGACAAAGAUUUGGUUGUACCUGAAAAAUGGGAAGAGUCGGGACCACAGUUUAUUACCAAAUCUAAGGAAGUCCGUCCCUUCGUUCAUUUACUACUACAAUCCACAAAGUCAAUAGCAUGGUGGCCUACAAAAUUCCUGUCAAUGACUGAGGAUAAGAUAAGGACAGUGAUGUACUUAUAACUCUCAGAUGUGGUUUUCCUGAAACCAAGUCAACUAUAGUUGAUACAUUUUGUUUCACUGGUUAAUUUUUAGAUGGGGAAAACUUAACAUUAUACUUCUAUUGAACUGUGCAUAAUUGUUCCAUUUUUUGGUACCCGUAUGACUUUAUACAGGGUUGGUAUAAAUUAUUGCACAUUGUUCAGAAGGGAACUAGCAGAUUACAUCAGCAUUGUUAAUGUCAAUUCCUUUAAAGGUGGUAACUGUAGAUGGAAAGCUUUUGCCAUAAAGCUAAAUGCCUUCUUAAACCUUUUGGUCAAGUACCUUGAUUCGGAAUAUAGGUAGGGAGAUAUUUAAAUAUAAAAUACAGCAAAAGAAGUCCGAAAAUUCAGAGUCUUUGUUUAGAUCCUGAAAUUAUCUAAUGAUAAUCUGUAAGUAAUGAAAUACUGCUCCUGUUAGGUCCUUUUGCCAUUUAUUUUAUUUGUAUAUUUUCCGUAUUAAAAGCAUUUCCAAUUAUUUGAUUUUAAUUUAUAUAUAUAACUUGAACUUACAAAGCUAUGUAUAUUGCCACUGUUUAAAUUCCUGUGAUACAGAACACUUAAACAUUUUUUUUAUGUUUUAUAAAAUCAAGCUUUAAAUGAUGUAAUAAAGUUAAGUAUGUAUAUUUUAAUUUGUCUUAACAUAUUUUUAUAUUGGUGUGGUAUUAACACAGUUAAAUAGCAGGAUGGAUUCAGUAUAGCAAAUAAUAUCUUGUACCUACCAGGGCCUAAGAAUACAAACUUGAGUCAGUCUGGAGGUGCUUUCAAUUUAAUGGACAAGCUUUGAUUAUACCCCUUUAAUCUUAUAACUGUGGACUUAAAAUAAGCAUCAUUCUUUGUAUAAAAUAAUACAUGUCAUUUGGAAUUAAUUCAUUUUAGCAUAUGUUGGGCUGUAGAACUUUUCUAUACUCCUAGCCUUAUUGCUAGCCUAGUCUUCCUUAUUUUGCCAAGGUCAGUUGAAGGCAGACUUCUAAAAAGUCUCUUCUAAUCUCUGUUCUAAAUCUUAUCUCAUUUUGUAAUAAUUAAGUGCUUAGUAUCAGACACUGUUCUAAGCUCUUUAUAUGUAUUAACUCGUUAAUCUUCACUAUAAAGUAAAAACACAUAGCCUGUAUCCAUUCCUUCAAAAAUUACAAAGUGAACACCUGUUAACGUGCCAAGUAUUGGGAUGAAUGAAACAGGGUCCUGGCCUUUCUGAAGUUUGAGAUAUGAAGGAGAGGAAAAUACAUGGCAAGCUUCCAAGAAGUAACUACACGGAUUUAUCACAUAUGUAUUUGUCUUUGUUAUUUCACCUGAAUGAUCUGUUUGAUCCUGUUGCCUGCUUGUUAAGAAUAAAGGGCAAUUCUCUCACUACAAGACAAGUGUAGGUCCCCGUAUUUGAUGAUGGGUGUAGUGAAUGCUGUUGCGAAAGCCCAUUCCCUUGAGAGUUGAAGCUAUCUAAUUUUAGAGGUCCACCCACAACUCUUGCCUGAAUAAGAAAAGUAGUUAUGCAGAAAUGGAAAUGAUUUUGAAUUAGGUAUGGUCAACAGUCUGGUUUUCCAACAUGAGAUAUAGUACAAAGUGGUCACUAGUAAGAUUAAAACAUUUGAAUUCUUGGCUGUACAUAACCUUCAUAACAUGACACAUUACGUUGAGAAAGAAAGCAGAAAUGGAAGUUCAGUAAAAAUAUGGAGAGAGUUGAAAAUUCUGGAACUACUUUUGGGACAAAAGUUUGAAAUUCUUUUCAGAAAGCAGUAACUGCUUUAGGAAACACAAUGCCUCUGCUAAAUGGCCGGAAAUAAUGUGGUUCUUCCCCCACAAAAGCUCACUGGUAGCAACUUUCUUAAUAUAUCAUUGGUAAUACUUAAAUUUCUGUCAUUUGUGUUUUUAUUUACCAAAUUAAAUGACCCUAAUAUUAUCACUUUUAAUUUGUGAUUUCUAACAUUGCUAAUUUCCCCCCCUUAUAGAUUAUGUAUCAUUUAAGAAAUACAAAUACAAAGCUAUGAGCUUUGUUGGUAAAGCUCAAUUGGAAAAGCUUUGGCCUAUGGCUCCAACUAAACUUGUCCUGCCUUCUUUCCUAUACCUGAAGCUCACCUUAGGAGGGAGCUAUUUAAACCAACAGGUUCAAGAAUUGUGAAUGACCGAUGAGUACUGGGUGUUACGUGUAAGUGAUGAAUCACUAAAUUCUCCUGAAACUAAUAUUACAGUAUAUGUUAAUGAAGUAGAAUUUAAAUAAAGAUUUGGAAGGAAAACAAAAAACAAAAACAAAACGUGCGUGACUUCCAUACCAUGUUAAACAGAGAAGCCAAGAUUCCAAGAGAGUCUGAUAGGCCUCUGAUAGGCCUGGCCUGGACUCUGACUCGGUUUUGCUUACCGUAGGUACAGGAAUGAAAACAACAUGUUCCGAUUGGGCCUGUCGAGGUCUGAAACAGAGCCCCAGAUGGGACUGAACCACACCCGGUCUUCAGGACUCUUCUCCCGGUGUCAUCAAUUGGACAGAGAAGUCAAGCCUUGAUGGGAAUUUUACACAGAGGGGUACAGGUCUGUGAUUCAUCAGUCUUCCACAAUUCACAGCGCUCACCGUAGCACAUACCCGCCCCAAUGUCUAUCACCCAGCCACGUCAUCCCUCCCACCCCCCCACCACUCCAGCAACCCUCAGUUUAUUUCCUGAGAUUGAGAGUCUCUUAUGGUUUGUCUCCGUCUGGUUUCAUCUUGUUUCAUUUUUCUCUCCCUUCCCCUAUGAUUCUCUGCCUUGUUUCUCAAAUUUAGAGAGUGACCCUGAGACAUUAUUGCCUUCUUCGAAAAUUUAGAUAUUCUGGUUUCAUUUCCUUGUGUCUCGUGUCCCAUGCUUUUGGCACUUUGGUGCAAGAUUGUGGUCUAGAGAAAACGUCUACUCCCAAAUUCCUCCGAGUGUGUUCUCUCCAGAACAGUGGAGUGAAACACAUUCUCCUCUGUCAGUGCAUGAGGAAUGGGGUAAUGAACGUCACCCUGCUCCCUUAGCACUAUGUUUAACUUACUAAUAUGCCACGUCUUACUUGUUCUGAUAGUAGUAAUUGUCAUCACUCUUCCAUAGACUUUUCAUUCCUACCUAGGCAGGCUGAGUUGGACCUGGCUAGGAAGUAGUUGACCAGAACCAAGAUUCUAAGAAAAUAAAAUACCACGGUCGCAGUAAGAGCCAAUGAGUCAGGAUUACUCUUUGUCAAGAAGGAACAGAAGGAUACCAAAGUUUAGCAAGACUUUAAGAAGAUUCUAGACAUCACAGAUGAAAGUAGUCAAAAGUUAGUAUUCCAAAGAGUGGCGCCAUUUGAAAAGACAGAACACAAGCACAAACAAAUAAAAAAGAUUCCAAGACACUUAAAUUAAGGGCAGAAACUUUUCUUUUCUCUCUUACUCCUUCCUGUCUCAGUAGGAUCUGACCACUGGUGUAAGGAAAGAGACUGCAGCUGGGAAGGAAAUGAUGCCAAGAGCUGCAGCUGCAAAGAGGGUUUGUUUUUUUUUUUUUUAACUUUUAUAGUGUAAAAUUAAUACAUACACACAUUUUAAAAAACAAGCAGUACAGAGUGGUACCAAAUGAAAAGUAAAUUCCCUGCCUGAACCUGUUCCCCAACUCCUCAUUUCCAGCUCCCUAUUUUUAAAUAUUUUCUGUUCUGCUGGUGGUUAUCACAAUACCUCUGAAACCUAUGUUAAUACUUUCAUUUCUUGUUUUAUGAACUUGAAAUAGCAUCUAUUGAAAGAUGAGAAACUUAUUUCUUUUAUCCAUCUGCUUCUACGUUUUCCAGUUACAUUGUUUUGGUUUUUCUGGUUAUUACCAUUUUAAAGAGUAUGCUUACGUCUGUAUUUUGUUACAUCAAUUUUAGACAGUGUAUCUUGAUUUUUUGCUAUAUAAAUAAAUAGGUGAAAAAGAUCUGUGACAUUAUCUCUUCCACGUCUCUGCUGCCUUAAUAUUCAGACUUCCAUUUUUUUUAUAUUAUCAAUGUUAGUAUUAGUCAGAUUCUUUUACAGUUGUUGUCUUCCAAGUUUUGUUUAUACGUUGAUUCUACAAAUUAAAAUAGCAUUUCCAUUAUUCCAAUGAUUAAAUUACUCCUUACCGAAGGACCAAAUAGCUCUACUUACUGAGAAAGAAAGGGUAAUCUUAUGUCAUUAAAACUGAAAGAUGAAUAUUCCAAGUGUCAAAGUCAAGUGGGAUUCCUUAAACUCAAUCUUCAAGACUUUCUAGUACAUUUAAUUUGGUCGAUGAUAUCUUUAAUUUCCAAAAAAUCUUUUUCUUUGUUCUUAUUUUAUAGCCACCCAUUCUUUGGCUUCUUGACUCUGAAGAUGUUAGUUGGUUUUGUUUUCUUAAUCAGUUUUUUUUUUUUUCCCCCUGUUCUCUUACUUGUUUUCUUUAGGAUUCGACUGUUAACAGUAUCUGUUCCACUUAGACCUUCUCAUUUUUGUUUUUCACUUACUCUAAAUUUUCUGGGUUUUUUUCCCCCAUAUAUGUGAGUGAUGAAAAAGGUUGACCAGUAUUGAUAGCAUGAUUUGCCACUGCAGUAUUAGACCUCUUUCUUGAAUGAAAAGAUGGAUGGCAGGUUCUGUGUACAUAUAAGCUAGUAGUACUGUUUUAGGGUACAUUUAGAUAUUUUGUUCACCAUGUAUUUUUUGCAAAUUGACUUUUUAAAAUACUAUAUUAAAAUUAAAAUAUCAUAUCUUAUUUACUUAGUUUUUUGGUGCACCUCAAAUUUUGUGUGCCUGGUUUCACUCACUGUAGUAUCUAUUUGGGCCAAGGGCCUGAAAGGUUAAAUGUACUUUCCAGGUAUGGUCAGUAGAGGGCAGCAAAGGGUAGUGGAGUGAGCACUCGCAGCCAAGGCCUGGGCAUCCCUUUUUUCCCCUCUAUAGAGAUAAAAAUCCAUCAGUGGUAGUAGAAAGUCCAGAGUGCCAGAAUCAGGAGAGAAAUUACUCAUAGGGAUACUGAUCCAGAAUGGGGAUCAGCUGAGGAGGCACAAUUCACAGCCUGGUAUCUAUCUUAGCGAUGUGAACCACUAGACAUCAGGAGGGGAAUCAUUCGACUUUCCCAGUCCUGACGCCUCCUACUCCCUGCCUGUCUAAAACCUCAGAUCUGGCUCCGUAAAAUAACAGGAGUCUCCUGUCCAUCUUGGGAGCUGAUGCAAACUUCCUGACUGAGAGUUAGGACAUGGUACCAGCAGUGGCUAAGUGUUCCUCAACCAGCCAUUUCAGGGAGGAGAGACUGAGUGGGAUAGGGGCACCAUAGGCAAACACUGACAGCUGAUGAAAACACUCACAUAUGUGUCAGUUAAAUAAUUUGGGAGCCGACCUAAAUGGGAUGUGGCUUAAAAUAUAUUUUCUUUCCUCCUCCAGAAGGAAAACAUUGUUUAGGUGAGGAAAAACUAUAUGACUUUGAAAUUAGACAAACUUGACUCUGCAGAUUAUUUGGUAUGUGGUUCUCAGUUACUUCACUUUAUUGAGCUUCAGUUUCUCCAUCUAUAAAAUGGAAAUAAUGAUUCUUACCUCACAAAUCUGCUGCAAGCAAAUGAGAUGAUGUCCAUAAACUGCCUGGCAAAGAACUUGGCAAUUUGUAGUUACUCAAUUGGCAUUACUACCUGUUCUCUCUCCCUGUCUUUAUUCAUGGGGGGAAUACCCAUUAUAUUGUUGCUAUUUUUGAAUAAAAAGUCUCAUUGUCUCCUGUAAGCAUAACUAAAUUAUUUGAAGGAUUAAUCUGUUAGGUACCAUACUAACAUUUCUGCAGUAUGAUCUCAUUUAAUUCUCACAACAACCCUAUGAAGCAGAUGCUUUUAUCAUCAUUUUGAUUUUGCAGAUAAGGACAUUGAGGCUUUAGAAGUAUAACUGGUUUACCCAGUGUCAUGUAGGUAGUAAAUCAUAAGGAAGGAUUAAAACUAGGUAAUUGGAUUCCAGAGCUCAUGCUCUUGACACUACAUAAUGUUUUCCAAUAUACACAUUUAAUCAAAGAUUUAAAAUUGUAAGGGAAUAAAUCAGAGAAGAAACUAAAAAAUACAUGGAGACAAAUGAAAAUGAAAACACCAUGGUCCAAAAACUUUGGAAUCCAGCAAAAGCUGUUCUAUGAGGCAAGUUUAUAGCAAUCAAGGCCUACCUCAAGAAGCAAGAAAAACAUUGAAGAAACAACCUAAACUUACACCUACAGAAGCUAGAAAAAGAACAAACAAAACCCAAAACCUAAAGAAGGAAGAAAAUAAUAAAGAUUAGAGCAGAAAUAAAUGAAAUAGAAACUAAAAAAAACCCAAUAGAGCAGAUCAAUGAAACCAGGAGCUGGUUCUUUGAAAAGAUCAACCAAAUUGAUAAACCUUUAGCCAGACUCAUAAAGGAGAGAGAGAGAGAGGGAGAGGACUCAAAUAAACAAAAUCAGAAGGGAAAGAGGAGAAAGGACAACCAACACCACAGAAAUAUGAAGGAUUAUAAGAAUAUUAUGAAAAAUUGUAUGCAAACAAAUUGAACAACCUAGAAGAAAUGAUAAAUCCCUAGAAACAUAUAACCUCCCAAAACUGAAUCAGGAAGAAAUAGAAAACUUGAACAGACUGAUUACCAGGAAUGAAAUUGAAUCAGUAAUCAGAAAACUCCCAACAAACAAAAGUCCAGGAGCAGAUGGCUUCACAGGUGGAUUUUACCGAACAUUUAAAGAAGAGUUAGAAGGAAAGCUUCCAAAAUCACAAAUUCAUUCUGUGAGGCCAGCAUUACCCUGAUACCAAAACCAGGUAAAGACACUUAAAAAAAAAAAAAAAAGAGGACGGCUGGGUGGCUCAGUCAGUUAAGCGUCUGCCUUCAGCUCUGGUCAUGAUCCCAGAGUCCUGGGAUCGAGUCCCCCAUCGGGCUCCUGGCUCAGCGGGGAGCCUGCUUCUCCCUCUCCCACUCCCCCUGCUUGUGCGCUCUCGCUCUCUCACUCUUGCUCUAUCGCAAAUAAAUAAAAUCUUUUUUAAAAAAGAGAGAACUACAGGCCAAUAUCUCUGAUGAACACAGAUGCAAAAAUCCUCAACAAAAUAAUAGCCAACCCAAUCCAACAAUACAUUAAAAAAUCAUUCACCGUGAUCAAGUGGGAUUUAUUCCUAGGAUGCAAACGUGAUUCAAUAUUCACAAAUCAAUUAACAUCAUACAUCACGUCAACAAGAGAAAGGAUAAAAAGCACAUGAUUAUUUUAAUAGAUGCAGAAAAGCAUUUGACAAAGUACAAUAUCCAUUCAUGAUAAAAACUCUCAACGAAGUAGAUUUAGAGGGAACAUAUUUCAAUAUAAUAAAGACCAUAUAAAAACCUACAGCUAAAAUCAUACUCAAUGGUGAAAAACUAAAAGCUUUUCCCCAAGAUCAAGAGCAAGACAGGGGUGUUCAUUCUCACUACUUGUAUUCAACAUAGUACUGGAAGUCCUAGCCCCGGGAAUAAGACAAGAAAAAGAAAUAAGUGGCAUCCAAAUGGGUAAGGAAGAAGUAAAACUUUGACUAUUUGCAAGUGACAUGAUACUAUAUAUACAGAAAACCCUCCAGACUCCACCAAAAAUAGACUAGAACUGGUAAAUGCGUUCAGGAAAAUCACAGGAUACAAAAUCAAUAUACAGAAAUCUGCAUUUUUAUACACUAAUAAUGAAGAAGCAGAAAGAGAAAUUAAGAAACAGUCCCAUUCACAAUUAUACCAAAAAUAAUAAACUACCUAGGAAUAAACUUAAACAAGGAAGUGAAAGACCUAUAUUCUGAAAACUAUAAAACACUGAUGAAAAAAAAUUGAAGACAACAUGAAUGGAAAAAUAUUCUAUGCUUAUUGAUGGAAGAACAAAUAUUUUAAAAUGUCCCAUACCCAAAAUGAUCUACAGAUUUAAUGCAAUCCCUAUCAAAACACCAAUAGCAUUUUUCACAGAACUAGAACAAAUAAUUCUAAAAUAUGUAUGGUACCACAAAAGGCCCCAAAUAGCCAAAGCAAUCUUGAGAAAGAACAAAAUUGGAGGUAUCACAAUCCCAGAUUUCAGGGUAUAUCACAAAGCUGUAAUAAUCCAAACAGUAUGGUACUGACGGAAAAGUAGACAAUAGAUCAACGGAACAGAAUAGAGAAUCCAGAAAUAAACCCAUGAUUUUAUGUACAAGCAGGGAGGCAAGAAUAUACAAUGGGGAAAAGAUAGUCUCUUCAAAAACUGGUGUUGGGAAAACUGGACAGGUACAUCCAAAAGAAUGAAACUGGACCACUCUCUUACACUAUACACAAAAAUAAAAUUCAAAAUGGAUUAAAGACCUAAAUGUAAGACUUGAAACCAAAAAAGUCCGAGCAGAGAGCACAGAUAGUAAUUUCUCAGACACUGGUUGUAACAACAUCUUCCUAGAUAUGUCCCCUGAGGCAAGGGAGACAAAAGCAAAAAUAAAUUAUUGGGACUACAUCAAAAUAAAAGGCUUCUGCACAGCAAAGAAAACCACCAAUAAAACGAGAGGACAAGUUACUGAAUGGGAGAAGAUAUUUGCAAAUGAUAUAAAAGGUUAGUAUCCAAAAUAUAUAAAGAGCUUAUACAACUCAACACCAAAAAACCAAAUGAUCCAAUUUAAAAAUAGGCGGAAGACAUCAACAGACAUUUCUCCAAAGAAGACACAGAUGGCCAACAGACACGAAAAGAUGCUCAAAUCACUCAUCAUCAGGGAAAUGCAAAUGAAAACCACAAUGAGCUAUCACCUCAUACCUGUCCAAAUGGCUAAAAUCAACAACACAAGAAACAACAGGUUUUGGCAAGAUUGUGGAGAAAAAGGAACUCUUGUGCACUGUUGGUGGGAACGCCAACUGGUGCAGCCCCCUGUGGAAAACAAUAUGGAGGUUCCUCAAAAAAUUAAAGAUAGAGUUGCUAUAUGAUCCAUAACUGAGUAUUUACCCCCCAAAUAGAAAAACACUAAUUUGUGGGGUGUCUGGGUGGCUCAGUCGGUUAAGCAUCUAGCACAUGGUUUCAGCUCAGGUCAUAAUCUCGGGAUCAUGGGGUCGAACCCCACAUUGGGUUCUGUGCUUAGCACAGAGUCUGCUUGAGAUUCCCUCUCCCUCUUCCUCUGCCCCUGCCCCCACCUGUCUGCUCACCCUCUCUCAUUCUCAAAUAAAUAAAUAAAUAAAUAAAUAAAUAAAUAAAUAAAUAAAUAAAAUCUUUAAAAAGAGAAAAACACUAAUUUAAAAACAUAUAUGCACCCCUAUGUUUGUUGCAACAUUAUUUACAGUAGCCAAAUUAUGGAGCAAGCCCAAGUGUCCACUGAUAGAUGAAUGGAUGAAGAAGAUGUGAUAUACACACACACACACACACACACACAAUGGAAUAUUAUUCAGCAAUAAAAAAGAUGAAAUCUUGCCAUUUGCAACAACAUGGAUGGAUUUAGAGGGUAUAAUGCUAAGUGAAAUAAGUCAGAGAAAGACAAAUACCAUAUGAUUUCACUUAUAUGUGGAAUUUAAGAAACAAAACAAAUAAAAAAGAGAUAAACCAAAAGACAGACUCUUAGCUAUAGAAAACAAACUGAUAGUUAUCAGAAGGAAGGUGGGUGGGGGGAUGGAUGGUAGGUGAUGGGGAUUAAGAGUACACUUAUCAUGAUGAGCACUGAGUAAUGUAUAGAAUUAUCGAAUCACUAUAUUGUACACCUGAAACUAAUAAUAACACUUAAUUAUACUGGAAUUGAAAUAAAAUAAAUAUAAAAAAAUUAAAAGAAAGAAAUUGAAUUAAGAAAAUAGUCUAGGGGCACCUGCAUGGCUCAUUCAGUUAAGCAUCUGCCUUCGGCUCAGGUCGUGAUCUCAGGGUCCUGGGAUCAAGCCCCACAUCGGGCUCCCUGCUCAUAGGGGAGUCUGCUUCUCCCCCUCCCCCCGACCCCCCUCCCUGCUCAUGCUCUCUCUCUCUCUCUCACUUCUCUCUCAAAUAAAUAAAAUCUUCAAAAAAAAUUUUUAAAUAGUCUUGUCUUUGCAACAUGCUUAAAAAUAUUGGUAUUAUGGGCAUAGGAUUACCUUAUACUAUCUCUUCUAUUUGAUAUUUAGGGUGAAAAGUUAAGUGUUCAAUGAAAUAGAUGAAAACAAACCCUAUCACUGUGAUUCUAUUUAGAGCUCAUUCAUCAAAUUAAAAUAAGUAGCAAUGGUAUUUUAGAAGAAAUUAAGCUUUAGCUAUUACUGUAAAUGUAACUAUUACAUGACUAAGGAAAGCUCCCUUUAUCUUUCUAAGAAAACUUUUCUCUCCUUGGCUUUACUACAAGGGGAAGAUAGAAUCAGAACACUACAUCUUUCUCAAUUAAUUCCUGAAGAUUAGUAACUCACAAUCCUGGUUACAUACAAGAAUCACUCAAAAAAUUUUUCAAAAUACAGGUUUUCUGGAUCUGAUGAAUCAGAACCUCUGGGGGUUAGAGAGGGAGUGCCUGAAAACUCCCCCAAGUGAGACUGAUGCAUAUCAGUAUUGAUAAGCAGAUACUAGAUUCUAGAAGGAGAGUUUUCCUGGUCUCUAAAUCUCUAACCUCUCUGAAGGGAGAGGCAGAGAAAUGGGACAUAAUCUGGGAGUUGGGGAAGGUGCAGAGAUAAGUUUGCCUACAUUUUUACAUUAAAUAACUGUUGACAGAUGCUUGAUGGGAGGCCAGAAAGUGUUGCCCCAUGAGCCUCCAUGGUUCUAAUACAAUCAAACAUGUCCAGACUAGCACUUGUCCCUUUAAAAGUGGUGAGAAGGGGCAUCUGGGUGGCUCAGUCGGUUAAGCUUCUGACUCUUGAUCUCGGCUCAGGUCGUGAUCUUGGUUCAGGUCAUGAUCUCAGGGCUGUGAGAUCGAGCCCCAGGUCAGGCUCCACUCUCAGCACUGUUUGUGCUUGUCCCUCUCCCUCUGCUACCCCCCACCCAAAUAAAUAAAUAAAAUCUUAAAAAAAAUAAAAGUGGUGAAAAGUCUGAAGGCCACUAUCUACAUGUCACUUCUGUGCUAGUUUGGUUUUAAGAUGAGAGGCCUCAGUAAAGUCUAAAAGGUCUACCAGGACUUGUGCUCUUGCCUCUACCUACUUUUUCAGGCAUAUUUCAUGCUCCUGUACCUUCUGCCUGUAUCUCCAAACUAGCAAACUCUUCCAUGUCUCUGAAACGUCACAUAUUCGCAUUCUGUC